UCUUGUUUUGCACCCAAUUCUGUGUUGCUGACCACUAGCCUGAUGUAAAUCCACUGACACCGCUUAGAAUUGGGAUGCCAGUUGUUGCAUUCAUCAAACAACUUUAUUAAAAUGACUGUUGACGUCUUGCUGUAGGCUAUUGCCUUUUUGACUACGAUCUAAUCUAAUAAUGAUGUAGGUGACGUCCACAUCCCUCCUACACCUCUUCCAGUUCACUCCUGAUAUAUGGUGUGCCUCCCUCUACUUCUCAGACUACAAGAGUCCAGCUACCGCAGCAGAACCCACACAACCGCUCCUACACACACGGAUGGAGAACGGGAGCUGGCUUGGCGGUGAUGUGUUUAGACUUUUUGCUUUAUUUAUCAGCUCUUUCUUAGGUCAUUUCUACGGGGAGAUAAUCUAAGUCUUCCAUGAUGAAACUUGUGUUUGUUUUUGCUGUGGUUGCGUAUUUCUUUGCAGAAAAUCUAUCACUUCCCGUUGGAAAAGAACGACAGCGAGAGGAUGUGGUAACCCGGUGCUUGGUUGAGGUCCUGUCCAAGGCGUUGACCAAACCUGACUCUCACCCUCUGGAUCAGGAAUGCAAAGAUAUUCUCAAAGCAGGUGCCCAACAUGCUGCUCCUGUGGAGAAGAAAAGUGAUGAGGUGCUGACUCAUCGGACGAGGAAUCAGAGGAAAAGAGAUCAGUUGAGUCAGAGGAAGAGGAGGAAGAGGAUAGAGAGAAGAGAAUCUGGAAGCCCACACACAGAUACCACCACAAAAAACACCACAAACGUGAUGAGGAGCUUUCAGAAGAAGGGAGAGAGGAGCCAGAUGAAGAACGCAGCCAAGAGUCCUGGAGUCUGGGUGAUGGAAAGGAGAAGAGAGAGGAGGAUGAGGAUGAGAGAGAGAAGAGGAUUUGGAAACCAACUCACAGGUACCACCACAAGAAGCAUCACAAACGAAAUGGGGAUUCCUCAGAGGAGGAAGACGAGGAACGAAGGAGCGAUUCGGACGAACAUGAGGAGGAGAAGAUGGAUGGCGACGCCGAGGAGGCUGAGAGACAGAGGGAUAGGCAGGAGGCUCUGA
rnacentral:lncRNA from 8 species